rnacentral:rRNA from 1 species
UACGAAGGGGGCUAGCGUUGCUCGGAAUCACUGGGCGUAAAGCGCACGUAGGCGGCCUACUAAGUCAGGGGUGAAAUCCUGGAGCUCAACUCCAGAACUGCCUUUGAUACUGAAGAUCUUGAGUUCGGGAGAGGUGAGUGGAACUGCGAGUGUAGAGGUGAAAUUCGUAGAUAUUCGCAAGAACACCAGUGGCGAAGGCGGCUCACUGGCCCGAUACUGACGCUGAGGCACGAAAGCGUGGGGAGCAAACAGG